rnacentral:rRNA from 1 species
UACAGAGGGUGCGAGCGUUUAAUCGGAAUUACUGGGCGUAAAGGGCGCGUAGGCGGUACUUCAAGUCAGGCGUGAAAGCCCCGGGCUCAACCUGGGAACCGCGCUUGAGACUGGAGAACUAGAGUUCGGGAGAGGAUGGUGGAAUUCCCAGUGUAGAGGUGAAAUUCGUAGAUAUUGGGAAGAACACCGAUGGCGAAGGCAGCCAUCUGGACCGACACUGACGCUGAGGCGCGAAAGCGUGGGGAGCAAACAGG